UACGUAGGGUGCGAGCGUUGCCCGGAUUUAUUGGGCGUAAAGGGCGCGUAGGCGGCCACGCACGUCCGUUGUGAAAUCGCCCGGCUCAACUGGGCGGGGUCAGCGGAUACGGUGUGGCUCGAGCAAGCUAGGGGGCAAUGGAAUUCCCGGUGUAGUGGUGGAACGCGUAGAUAUCGGGAGGAACACCAGUGGCGAAGGCGGUUGCCUGGAGCUUUGCUGACGCUGAGGCGCGAAAGCGUGGGGAGCGAUCCGG
rnacentral:rRNA from 1 species